rnacentral:tRNA from 1 species
GGUUUACUAUGAAAUAUGUUGAAAUCGGCUCAUAACCGAGUGGUCGAAGGUUCGAGUCCUUCACGACCCACCA